ACCCCAGGUCAGGCGGG
rnacentral:rRNA from 3 species